AUUGAACGCUGGCGGCAGGCUUAACACAUGCAAGUCGAGCGGUAGCACAGGGCUUGUUCCUCCCUUGGGGACGGGCGGGGGGCGUGAGGCCUAUGUCUGGGCAACUGCGUGGUGGAUAGGGUUAACUACUGGGAACGGUAACUAAUUCCGCCUAACGUCGCAAGGCCAGGGAUGUUGACCUCCGAGCCUCUCGCCUGAGCCUAGGUCGGAUUAGCUAGAUGGUGGGGUAAGGGCCUACCUAGGCGACGAUCCGUAUCUGGUCUGAGAGGAUGAUCAGGCACACUGGAACUGAGACACGGUCCAGACUCCUACGGGAGGCAGCAGUGGGGAAUAUUGGACAAUGGGCGAAAGCCUGAUGCAGCCAUGCCGCGUGUGUGAAGAAGGCCUUCGGGUUGUAAAGCACUUUCAGUGAGGAGGAAGGUGGGGAGGUUAAUACGUUCAUGUAUUGACGUUACCCGCAGAAGAAGCACCGGCUAACUCCGUG
rnacentral:rRNA from 1 species